CUCUGCACUUGAUGUGGCUGAUGAACCUGCGCUCCUGUCCCACCUGCACCUCGUCGGAGCCUGGGGGAGGAGCGAGGGACGCUGAGCCCGGGGGGCUCACGGCUAGAUUACAGAUAACCUCCUUUCAGCUCCAGUGGCCAUGUGAUUGAGUUCUGGCCAACGAAUUGCUAUGUAUAUGCAUAAAACAUACCUCAUGAAAGAAUGGACCCAGCAGAGGACCCCAAAAUCCUAAGGAUUGCAGAACUACCAGAUGGAAGGUCCUAGACCCCUGAGUGACCACAUGGGGCAGGAGGCCCCUUUGGUACGUCCUGUGCCAACUGGACUUCACAUGAGUGAGAAAUAUAGUCUCUUGUGUUGGGGCUGGAUUCUUAGGGGUUUACUAUAGGAACUACUAUUACUUAAGCUGAUGAACAUGGAGUGAGGGGCACUGAGGGGUAUCAGGAGUUAGCAGGGAGGGUAACAGGAUAGGGGGACUGGGAAGAAAGGAGCAGAGGUGUGGCGGAAGCCCCGAUCAUGUUAGAGAUGAGGAGGGCAAGAGAAAGCCAGAGAGAAAUACUUAGGGGAUGGCGAGCCAGGAAGGCCUUUCUUGCCAUUGAGCACUUAUUUUUCCUUUUUUCAAAAAAAAAAAAGUAGCUGUUUUUCAAUGGCUAAGACUGAUAAGAAGUUGGAAGAAGUUGGAACAUCAAGUGUCAAAAGGUGAGAUGCUUAGAGAAGGUGGGCUGACCUGGGUUGACCACUGGUUGACCUGCACUGACCUCCUUCUUGACCUAGGUUGACCCCCUUGUCAACCACCUCGUUUCAUGUGCCCCUCCCCCUACCACCCAGCAGCACAGACCCUGUCUUGCCUGGCCUGGGGCUGGCCUGACACGGAGGCCAAGGCCAAUGGGAAAAGAAAGGGAAGCCAAAUUAGGAAUAAGAUCCCAAUGGA